CUACUACCCGGAAGUGGUUGAUAAACUAGGCCAAGUUCAAGGCCAUUGCCCAGAAGACCGUGAGAGCGGGUUCUUCCGCCACUGGCCACUGCCUGUGCACCGAGGGGGCCGCGUGGAGGAGGCCUCGCCGGUGCACUCAGGGUCGCGGGUCCGUGUGGAGACAGACGGCAGGACAGCUGACACACAGCCAGGGGCUGAAGCAUAGUGGGACAGACACGGGGGGCAGGGGCAGACCGAGGGGACACGCUGCCGUGCGGUCACUCGGCGGCUCUGUGCAGGUCAGCGGGUGGUGGGGGCCCAGGCACAGACGACCUAGCCCCCCUGCCCCGGGGGAAUGGAGAGAGAGUUCAGCAAAAACUGGUUUCUUAGCCUAAAAGCUUUUGCUAUAAAAGGAGAAAAAGAAAAAGUCAACCCUCACAAAAUGCGUUGUUUUGGUUCAAAGGUACCGGGUCCAUGGAGAGACAUGUCUCACAAAAAUCCGUCGGGGUUUUUGUUUCCACCUUUUCCCAUGAAUAAAUAUUAUCCAUUAAGAGCCUCGAAAAGGUGCUUAAAUACACAGUGUUAUAUUGUCUUCCUGUUUUGCAUCUGACAACUCCGUGGCCUUGGGCUGCUCUCCGUCUCACAUGUUCCUCGUGGGGGUCUCCAGAAACAAGUUACUGGGUCUGGCCCCCCCUCCAGGCCCUGCGCUGGCUGGCACGCAGCAGCCUCCACCCCAAGGUCCCAUCCCCUGCCCCACCCACCCCCUUCCUGCGGCCCCAGGGGAGGCGGCCCCCCAGGGCUGUGCGCGCCACAGUGACCUUGGGCCCCCUCUGCUGCCUCCGGCUCCUCCCAGGCACAAAUUUCAUCACUGCGGGUGGGGAGAGGGGACGGAGCGGUCCCAGUGGCCACCCACCGACCCGCCAGCCUUCCUCACCCCCACUACCCACUCUGGCCCUCUGCGCAGCGGUUUCACAAGGCGGAGACCUUGACCACGUUGCUGGCUAUGGAAGGAAUAUUAAGGCUGGAGCGACUGCGGCAGAAAAGGAGGGAGUCGUGGGCGGUGCCUCUUGCUGGCGCCCCGAUGUUUCCCUGACCCCAGACAUUUCUAGCUCAUGGUCACUAGAAGGAGCUUUCGGUGUCCCUCCUCCUCUGCUUUUUGGUGACCCGCCCGUAAGCAUCCACCCUCACUGUGCUGCCUGAACUACCGACAGCGGCCGCGGCGUGGUGUCGGGCUUUGGGGCGCAGAGUGUGCGUCCUCCCCUCCACUGGGCUGUUCGCCUGUCCCGUGUGGCACUCGACCUGUGCUUUCCCUGAAUUCCUUGCAACUCACUGGAGGUGGGGAGUGGGGGGAGUGGCCUGAAUAUGAGCAGAGAAAGGAGGGGGAAGUCCGUGAUUCAAAAUCAGCCUGGGAUGAGCCAUGUCUAACACAGUUGGGGAAAUUAUUUCCUUGGUCCGUUCUUUGCACUGGGGUAGGUCGUUUGUGGAUUUUGGCGGGGAGCUAUUUUUUCUGGUGUCCACUCACACAUUGGGCCUAAGCUGGCUAUCCUGUCCCCCAAAGCGUGUGAAGGGCCUCUGGGUUA